AUUGAACGCUGGCGGCAUGCCUAACACAUGCAAGUCGAACGGCAGCACGGGUAAGUUUACUUACUGGGUGGCGAGUGGCGGACGGGUGAGUAACGCGUAGGAAUAUGCCCUGAAGAGUGGGAUAGCCUGGGGAAACUCAGGGUAAUACCGCAUAUAAUCUACGGAUGAAGAGCUGGGGGCCUUAUGGCCUGGCGCUUUAGGAGUAGCCUGGGUCUGAUUAGCUAGUUGGUGUGGUAAAGGCGCACCAAGGCGACGAUCGGUAGCUGGUCUGAGAGGAUGGACAGCCACACUGGGACUGAGACACGGCCCAGACUCCUACGGGAGGCAGCAGUGGGGGAUAGUGGACAAUGGGGGCAACCCUGAUCCAGCGAUGCCGCGUGUGUGAAGAAGGCCUGCGGGUUGUAAAGCACUUUCAGUGGGGAGGAGGGUAAGCGAGUUAAAAGCUAGAGUUACUGGACGUUACCCACAGAAGAAGCACCGGCAAACUCCGUGCCAGCCGCCGCCGUAA
rnacentral:rRNA from 1 species